AAGUAAGUUGGCAGAAUAGUGCCACCGACUUAGGAUCGGUUCAUGGGUAAAUCCACUUACUAU
rnacentral:tRNA from 1 species